CCUACGGGUGGCAGCAGUGAGGAAUAUUGGUCAAUGGACGAGAGUCUGAACCAGCCAAGUAGCGUGAAGGAUGACUGCCCUAUGGGUUGUAAACUUCUUUUAUAUGGGCAUAAAAUGUUACACGUGUGGGGUUUUGUAUGUACCCUAUGAAUAAGGAUCGGCUAACUCCGUGCCAGCAGCCGCGGUAAUACGGAGGAUCCGAGCGUUAUCCGGAUUUAUUGGGUUUAAAGGGUGCGUAGGUGGAUUGUUAAGUCAGUUGUGAAAGUUUGCGGCUCAACCGUUAAAGUGCAGUUGAAACUGGGAGUCUUGAGUACAGUAGAGGUAGGCGGAAUGCGUGGUGUAGCGGUGAAAUGCUUAGAUAUCACGAAGAACUCCGAUUGCGAAGGCAGCUCACUGGACUGCAACUGACGCUGAGGCACGAAAGUGUGGGUAUCAAACAGGAUUAGAUACCCGUGUAGUC
rnacentral:rRNA from 1 species